CGGGUGCUGCCGGGUACGUUAGUUCGCAUACGUCCCUGGGGCCAAUACCGACCUCUAGGGAGCUGUCCCUGACCGGAGCCGUGGUUCCGGAUAUAUGGCGCCCACCUGCUAAGUGCAGGCCGCAGAGGAUCACAUGUGGCGACGGCCACGGUGGCCCCGUU
rnacentral:other from 1 species